rnacentral:lncRNA from 1 species
ACUCAUCUUGAUAUACAUAUACAUACAAAAUCAGAGGGGAUAGAAAGGAGAGAUCUGAAAAAAAAGAAAUAGAAGACCACUUAGCUAGACCUCUUGAUUUAUGUGAUUGAAGCAAUCAACCGCUCACCCCAUGAGAAGACCUUCUCCCUUUCUUCUUUCUUCUUUUUUUGAGCAACACUCACACACGACAUACACACAAAAAAAGGGAUGAGAGAAACAGAGCUGGACCUAGACUAAAAAGCUAAAAACGGCAGUACUCCGAAAGAUAUACAAAAAACUUGAAACAAAAAAUCUUGGAAUCUCUAAUUCAAAAAGCCAAGUUUCAGUCUUAUUCUAAGAGGAUUUUUGGUCUUCUUCUUAAGGAAUUAGGAAGAGUGGUCCUAAUUCCGAAUUCCUAAAAAGAGAGAAAAUAACAGCAUUUUACCUUCUUCUUCAACAAGAACGACGAGCUCCUAAGCUAGCUCCUUUCCAUGGCUAAAUUGAGGACCUACCCUAAUCUCCUAAAAGCUUCUACCGCCUAGAUCCCUCUUUCUGUUACUGCUGCAACGGAUUUUUUGUUUGCUGAUGAACUCCGUUUUCCCGACGGAAAUUCUGGUGGCAACAGUCAUCGUUGAAGCAGAGUCGAGGUUCGUUCGAGAUUUCACUGCGAUUCGAGGUCGCUGUUCGAUUCUGCUCUUACUACUGGAUUUGAUGUUGCUGAACUCUACCAGUUGUAUCCUCAUUUUUAUUUGGGCAUUGUGUUGUUUGUUUGCUUCCAAUUAGGUAAGCCUCAAACCUCUCUGUAUUUACCAUGUUUUGAACGAUGAAUUUUUAGUAUCUUUGCUGUUUAUGAUUGUGAUUUGCUCGAAUUAUCAUGCUUUAGCCUAACAAUAUGAAUUGAUAUUAAGAUAAUGUUUGGUUCAUGUUGAGCUUGCCCACAAAAUUACGAAUGUGAGUGCCAAUGGUCUAGAUUUUCUUUUCCCAAAUAAAAAUCCCUUAUGCUGCUGUGCUUAUUUACUGAUCUAUAAGUAAUUAUUGCAAAUUUCUAUUUUUGUGGCUGAUAUACAUAUAGUAGUCUGUAAUCUUUGACUUUCAAAAUUGUGAAUUAGUGUGUUUGUUAAAUUUAGAUAAUUACAGUCCUUAUUGGCAUUAACUUAGUGAGUUUUGCUAAGAUAUUUUUGGUUUGGUUUAUGGGAAUUGCUUUAAUUUUUUUGUUUUGGUUUAUGGUGACACCUCCACCACUUGUGUACUUAAGAAUUAAAGAGAGACACAAAUGAAGCAAUAAUCUGCUGCCUUGUUCUAUUGCAGCAAAUAUUGGAAUUAAGAAUGAAGCUUAAGAGGAUUAAAGUUGAAAGCACGGGAAUUUGGUAGUGGCUUUAUCUCAUCUUUAAUUGAGAAGUUUUUGACUAAUCAACAAAGAUUUCCAGUAAUGGUUAACAAAGAAUUUUGAUUACUUUAGUGAGACAUUUUUGUUAGUGAUCGUUUUCAAAAUUAAGACCAAAGUAUGCGAUUCGCCCAAUGUUGGUUGUACAAUCUUAAUAAUAAUAAAAUGUUACUAAUUGUGUACACGUUCGCGUGACACGAGUACGAUUUAAGAAAUAAAUAUUCGUAGAAAAUGCUUUAGGCGCGAUUUAAUACAUUAUCGUAAUUGUGUACACGUUCGUUUGACAUAAUUACGAUCCUAAAAACAAAACCGGAGUAUGUGUUCGCGUAACUUUGACCAAAAUUUCUUAAUAUUAAUAAAG